rnacentral:rRNA from 1 species
UACAGGGGGGGCCAGCGUUAUUCGGAAUUAUUGGGCGUAAAGGGCGCGUAGGCGGCCAUGCGUGUCUUCCGUGAAAUCCCUCGGCUUAACUGAGGACGUGCGGAAGAAACUGCAAGGCUCGAGUCCGGGAGAGGGGGGUGGAAUUCCCAGUGUAGCGGUGAAAUGCGUAGAUAUUGGGAGGAACACCGGUGGCGAAGGCGGCCCCCUGGACCGGUACUGACGCUGAGGCGCGAAAGCGUGGGUAGCAAACGGG